AUCAUACCAUUUUGGUUGAGUCAAGUGAUAGAAUAAUAUUUGAAUGGCGAACCUUCUGAAGUCGGUUUUGUUGGUCAUUUUUCUCAUAGCUCUCACAUCAGAUGAUUUGGUUUACAGUGCAGAAAGGAAUAAUUAUUGCAACUUACUAGUGAACCACGAAUGUGUGGUGGCUGCAAGAGACAAUUUAUGCUAUGAAGUAUGCGUAGCUGCUCUCCCAGGUAAAGAUGUUCACGAUGGUGAAUGUGUUGAGACCUACUUGUGUAAUUGUCUCUAUGUUUGUUAAUUAUUUCUCAUCAAAGGAAUUCAAUAAUCUUUCUCA